rnacentral:lncRNA from 1 species
AACUCUUACAUUUAUAAAUUUGUGACAGUUUGCCUUGUAUUUAUAACCCAGUUCCACACUCUGAAGCAGGGAAUCUAUGGCUUCGCUACUGUUUUGAAGGACACUGCCUUUAACAACUUCCUCUCACAAUCUCACACCACCUCUAGUGAUACUACUGCUACUAUAAGAAGAAGAAGAAAGGAAGAGGAAGAAGAAAAGGAAAGAAAAAGACAAGAAAGAACAGCAAAAAUAAUAGUUGCCAUUUAUUGAGCAUCUACUGAGGGUCAGGCAUGAUACCAUUAGUUGGUUGUGGUUAGUGGGCUGUACCUAUCACUUAAAAAAAUGAAUUGGAAUAGAAUAAAGUAGAUCAGAAUGGAAUGGAAUGGAAUUGCAUAGAAAAGAAAAUAUUGGAAUUCAUCAAAGGUAUUUGUUUGCAAAUUUUUCUUUCCAUUUGUAUUGCAUGUCUGCGUGUGCAUAUGAGUACUGAUUUGCAAUAUAAAGCAUAUUUUUAAAUGUGGUUGUGAUGAAAAAAGUAACUUGUCCAAAGUCAUAAUAGAUAGUAAGUAGCAGAGCCAGCUCUAAAUCCAGUCAUGUGGCUUCCAGCUGACUAUCUCAACUUGUAUGUCAUUUAUAGAUAUGAAAAUGAAGUCUGGAGGAGUUAAGUAAUAUGAGAGAAAUGAGAAUGCCCACUACAUAGAAUUGUAUAGAUUAAAUCAGAUAAUACAAAUGUCUGGCUUAUCAUAGAGUAUACUAAUAGUUAAGCCAUUUUGCAAGAUUUUUCACGUCAGAUUGUUAUUAAUAGAGCCAUUUCUUUACUCUUUUAAAUACUCUUCUAAACCAACUAUAAUGGGGAAAAAUCAUUUAAAAAAAAGAAUAAAUACUCUUUUUACUUCAUUUAAAUGGCUACAGCACAUUCUUUUGUAUAUGUAAGGAUUUCUUUGAGUACCCAGUCUUACAUUGUGAGAUGUUUACGUUGUUUACAUCUUUUUGCAACUUAAAGCAGCAGUUAACAGCUUAAAGCACAAUUACCAUGUAAAAAUAUUUCCUCGGGAUUAAUUCUGAGAAGGGGAAUGGCUGAAUCAAAGGGCAUACUCAUUGUAAACUUAAAGUUUAAACCAAUUUACACUUUCCCCCAGCAAUUGCUCUAAGUCUGGCCUCCGUUAAAAAGUAUUCUUUGUCAGGAGUUUUCUAUUAAGUUAAAAACCCAUUUGUAGGGAAAGUUACUAUUGUCAUGUUGAGACCAACCAAGUUGGCUUUGUGCAAAACUCCUCGAAACUGCCACAUCUCCAUCUCUCCUCACUGCCAUCUCUCUCCUGUCCUUCACACAGCUUUAUGUCUCUCCUGAGAGUAUCGUUUCCUCACAAAAUAGCCAUCCCUGCCAUCACUGUGUACACUCUUCUGGACCUCAGCCAAACCCAGCUCCUGAAUACACAAGAACUGAGUAGGACCCCAUUUUAUUUCCCAAACAUAUUCAUACUGGGGGGCAACGGUAUUGAUUGCUUAAUUUCUUUAUUAUUUAUAAAUAUUCACUAAUCUUGCCCAUUCCCAUUUUCCUAGUGAAGGCUUUCAUCUCAGUACCUAAUCCUUCUCCCUGGCAGAGAUGCAAACAAGAUCCAAUCUGGACCUGUAAAAUAUAUGCAUAUUCUUCUGGACACAGCAAUUGAUCCAAGGGGCAGAAACAAGACGCAAGAAUCAGAGUCUCCCUUUGAGACUGGCAUUUUGAGAGGACUUCUCUCCAGGUGGUUGCUAAAUUAUCAUGAGGUAAACCUGGUGCUGCUGGCAGCCUCUUCCCAGCUGCACAGGGGACGUGUGCAGGGGACAGCUCCCAAAGAAAAAGAUGGCAGAGCACACAGAAGCAGAGAUGACUGGGUGACAUCAUUGAGCCCCCCCGCAUCCAGCAGUGCUGAAACUGACAGUGUUAAUGGCCUGACCCUGGCCAGAACCCAGAUUGGGACUUGAACACAGCCUAAACCCAGAUUGGGACUUAAACCCAAGGUUUUAAAUUAGAAUCAAUUCACCCUGUGUCUGGACUCACUGGAAUUCAGCGAGAGACAAAGUGAUAGGCAAGAAAUAGAUUUAUUAAGAUAGGACGCUUAGGAGCGACGCAAGCGAGCAGGCACGGAAACUCUGCCUCGAGGCGGUGGGCUACAGUUUUAUCCUCUAAGGGGAGUGGGGGUUGGAAAAGCCUGACUCUUCCUUUCUGGGAGUAGCAGCUCCUCCUAGGUGUCUGAUAAGGUGUGUAUUCAAAUCAGCAGAAGGGCGAUCCUGGCCUUGGUCUGAAGCUGAAUGCAGCCUCAUCCCAUCCCCCACCCAACGACCUGAGGCAAUUCUCACACUUCCCUAGUCAAGCAAGACUGCCUUGUUCUGAUGGCUUUUUUUGAGCAAUUAAUUAACUUACAGUGAUCUCCCAAAGUCCCCUAGAUUUUCCCUCUUUAUCUAUGAUCCUCUACUGGGACUUCUAAAAGAACCUGUACCUACUCCAUCCCUAUCAGUGCCUCCAGUGGAUUUCUGAGUUGAAAAAAAGCUUUUGGCUAAGGCAAGUAUACUUGGCUUUUUGCCUCUAGUAGCUGUAUUGAUUGAUAUAGUUGUAAAAGGAGUGGUAUUAACAGUAUGUUGAGUUCAGAGGUGGAGGCAUAGUAUGUGAAUGAAGCACUAUAUGGUAAUAAGGUGGGAAUUAAGUCAACGUAUAAAAGUAUGUAAAUAAUAAUAGUUGUAAGAGAAUUAUCCAUGCAAAAUACCUCUAAGAAAGUUAUUUGUUUUUAAAGGUAAUGUAAUGAAUAUGGAGUUUCUCUCGUGGCUCAGCAAGUUAAAAACCCAACCUAGGGUCUGUGAGGAUGCGGGUUUGAUCCCUGGCCUCACUCAGUGGUUUAAAGAUCUGGGGUAGCCAAAUGCUGUGGCUUAGGUCACAGAUGGGGCUCGGAUCUGGUGUUCCUGUGGCUGUGGUGUAGGCCGGCAGCUGCAGCUCCCAUUAGACCCCCUUGCCUGGGAAUGUCCAUAUGCUGCAGGUACAGCUGUAAAAAAUUGAAAAAUAAAAUAAAGGUAACAUAAUGAAUUUAAAGUGAGAAAUAAAUAAAUAAAGUGAGUAGAGUGAGGAGACUGGUCAUGUUCUCAAUUCUACCUCUAGACAGAUACACAGCCUUGACCAAACCCUAUCACCUUUCAAGAGACUCAUUUCCUCAUCUGAAAACAAGUGGAUUAGACUGGUUAGGCUCUAGAGACUCUUCUAGCUCUAAAAUGUGUAAACCUCAUCCAGGAGAGUCACUGUGGUCUGAUCUGUGUCUGGGAAAUGUUGUUUUCUGGUUGGCUCAGGUUUGGGUUACUGAGCUGAUGUGGGCACAGGGGAUAGUGUGUCAGAAAUGGGGAAAGGAACCAUCUCCCCAAACCCCAAACCGUAAUAGGGAAGGACCUUUGUGUUCUAUUACAAGUUAAUCACUAAAGGGAUGUUGCCCACAAACUUAAAUUAUACGUAACAGCCUUGCUCUGGGAACCUUGUCUCCCAGGUACUGAGCAUUAAGCUGAAAUACCUUUGUUUAGAUCAAAGGGAACAUCCUGACCAGGCCCAUCUGCGAAUGGCUGCAGGCAGGAAGACAUUCACACAUCCUCUCUGGAGUUUGGCCUGAACUAAGACUUUACCUCCACCCCUUCUAGUAUAACAGAAGUCUGAAUUAUAACCAGAAGAUGGCUCUUUGGGGGCUAGUGGCCACCAUCUUCUCAGUCUGUUGGCUUUUUGAAUACAGUCACCAUUCCUUGCCCUAACAACCCGUUUCAUGAUUGACUGGCCUGUUGUGCAGCAGGCAGCAUGAGCUUGGACUGGAUAACAAAACCAUGUAAUUAUUACACAUCAGGGGAGGAGCAGAAUAGAUAUUAAGAACACAAUCAAGAACACAAUCAUGAUGACCAUGUAACACCUUAUUAAGGCAUCUCUGUGUGUUCCAAAACAGCCACUGUGAGGGACAGAGAAGCUGUUCAGCAUUUCAUAAAAUUGAAUCCAGGCUGCUAGUGACUAAAUCUCCAUUGACUACCACCCUCUCUACAUGUCUGGCCUCCUCUGAAACAACUCUUAGUGCAGAGGUCACAAACUGCCAGCCCACAGAUGGGUUUUGUUAGGACCACACAUUGUUGGUCCACAGAAUAUUUUUAAAAUUUCAAGCUUGUUGCCAAGGUUUUAAAAAUUGG